UACAAGUUGGGGCAUAAUAAUAUCCUCUCUCUCCACAUCCUAGGAUUUGGAGAGAAGCAAAAUUUGUGUUUCCCCAAUCUUCAGAUUAUGUAUUCCUUCUGUUUCUAAAAGUAACAAAUACUGUUAAGUGUAUGUUUCGUUGUCUCAAAUUACUACCUUCUAAUGGAAUGGAUGACCUUCAGAAGAAUCCAGUGGAAGAACUGUAGCUAGAUUCUGGAAUUCCGUCUGAGGGGACACUUUAAACGCAUAGGCAAACAGAAUGCUAGUUCCUCCACACAGAACGCUAGUAACAGCCAUGGUUAAGACAAUCAUCCACCUCUGGAGAAAUGCCACCACCUUCCUGACCUUGUGCUUUUCAAGUUCAAUAAGGGGAUCUCCACUGUGAACCUCCUACAGGUCCUGGUAAACAGAUGUGCAUCUUUCCAUUAUGUCCUCGCGUGCACAUGGUCUUUAGUCUGUGUGUGCAUAUCUUUGCUGUCUCUUUGUGUGUCCUGUUUUCAUUUCCUUUAAGGACAUCAGUCAGCUUUGGAAGAGUAACAGGAAGAAUCUCUUGAUGAAGAAAUUCCCAACUGGGUUCAAGUGAAAAAAAUUUCUUGAAUCUAUUUUGUGAAACAAUUUCAAUUUCUGGGUUUAAUCAUCCUAAAUUAGUCUAUUCAGCAAAGUUUUGGGGCUUCAGAUCACAUAAAUAUGACAAUCUCAUUCCAAAUUUGUGUCUACAUAUUUCAGAGUCAUUUGUAUAAUGAAUCUAUUUGACUUUCCACUUUGAUUAUGAAAUUAACCAGAUAACUCUCAGAUUUCUACCUGCUUAGUAUGAUUGCCAGUCACAAUGAUCUUCUCCUCCUGGCGUUCAUCUGUAAUGUCAUCCUUUCCUACACUAAAUAGUAUUGACCUGUGUAAACAAUAGAAUAUCAUGUAGAAAUGACAUAGAAUACAUUAUAGCUUCUACUUUUUUCUCUUGGAUUAUUCACAGCUUUCAUAUAAUAUUGUUGUUCAGUUGCCAAGUGGUGACCGACUCUUUGUGACCCCAUGGGCUGCAGCACACCGGGCUUCCCUGUCCUUCACCAUUAUAUUUCAUAUAAUGAGGACUCUCAAAUGGCCCUUUAGAGAGACCUAUAUGGUGGGGGUGGGCAAUGACCUCCUGUCAACCUCAGGCAUCAACUGUCAGCAUGUUAGUGAGCCCUCUUGGAGGGGGAUUCUCAGGCCCAGUCAAGUCUUCAAAUGGUAGCAGCCCCAGCUCUCAUCUUGACUGCAAGCUCAUGAGCAAUUUCAAGCCAGAACCACCCAGCUAAGCUAACCCUGAGUCCCUGAGCUACAGAAUUGAAAUAAUAGAUGUUUUUUUGUUUUAAACUUAUAAGUUUGUGGAGUAAUUUAUUAUGCAGCAAUAGAAAAUGAAUAUCACGUAGACAUUUAAAACCCAGUAUUCAGAGAGACAGCGUUUAUAAACUGCUCAGGAUCAGUAAAUGCAAAAAAGUCUCCAUUUUAAUCCCUGUGAUACAGUUUAUUAGGUUUCUGAAACUCCCUGGCCUUUGAAUUGCUCUCCUGUAUUGACUAAUUCUCCACCUUCUGGGUCUUGAUGAGAAACAGAAUUUUCUUUACUCAGAAAAUGCAAGAUACCUACUUUGUCAGUUACUCUGGCAGCUGUUGAACAAGUGUGCUAGACAUGAUUCAUCAGGUGCAGCUGUUCAUCUAGGAUCUUGAAUUAAGGUCUAGUGAUGCAAAAAGGAAGACAGUGAGAGAUAGAGGAAGUGUCCAAUACCCAUAGCAGUAAUGGUGGUAUUGUAAGUUACACCAUCCACUGUGGACCAGCAGCUCUGACAGCAAUGCUCUUCCUCAUUAGACUGGUUUGGUCUAGCCACAGAGAUUCCAUGAACCACCUAAUAAUCCUUAAUAAACUUCUUUUGUGUCUUAAGCAUCAUCUACAGUACGGGUUCUCCUUCAUGGUAGGUAACAAUGGAAAUCAAAAGAGCAUGGGAUACCACAAAAUUGCCAAUAGGAAUUGCCUGAGAAGAAAAGAUGACCUCAUUCUGACCAGUUGACUCUAUCUUCAAAGACACAACUUAAUUGUCAGGGAGAAGCUGAGCCAUGAUAUGGAAAGAAAAAUGUUAAAGGACAUAGUUUAGUUAAAAUAAACCAUUGCAGGUAUGCAUCAGUGAGCCAGGAGUUUGGAAUCCUCGAAUACUAGUGAUUUAUAAAUGAAACAUUCUUUUUGUUCAGUAGUUAUAUAAUUAUAGGGUUUUGUUGUUGAGUUUUAAAAAAUAUUUAUUUACUCCUUUGCCUGUGUGGGGUCUUGGUUGCGACACACGAUCUCUUCAUUGCAUCGUGUGGGAUUUUUUGGUGGCAGCGCAGACCCUCUAGUUGUGGUGUGUGGGCUCUGUAGUUGCAGCACCCUGCAGGCUUAGUUGCUUCACAGUAUGCGGACUCAGUUCUCCAACCAGGUAUCGACCUGUGUCCCCUGCAUAGCAAGAUGGAUUCUUAACCACUGGACCACCUGGGAAG
ensembl:lncRNA